AACAAAAUUGUUUCUUAAAAUAACAAUAUGUAUAUAAGCAGGAUUGUGCUUAAUUUUCUCUAAGUAAAGAAAUGGUUUGCACAAUUUAGAACUUGAUAUAACAAAAGCAUAACAAAAAAAAUUUCCAGAACUUGAAGUGUCUUUUGAAAUCUCGGUCCUACUUCGAAAAUCUACAAAGGGAAAAAUUGUAAACCCAAAUUAAAGCUUCUUCUCUCACUCAAAAGAAAAAUGGAAACUUUAUAUGAAAAGAAAAUUGAAAUUCUGAAUAAUCAAAAGUGGAUAAAAACUCUAAAUAGAUUAUCUUAACGCGUAGGAGUUCCUUGUUAGAAUUUGAAAACAAUUGAAACUUCAUUUUAAACACACACUUAAUCAAUUGAUUUAUAUUUAAAUGGAAAAAAAAGUAGUGGUCAGUUUUAUCUAUCUUUUGUUUAGCGUUGCCCCAUUUUUAAUUUGUAUUAAAAGCUUGAAUUUUUACUUUCCUUCCAUUCCCCUGUGUUGUUGUGCAUAACAAUAUAGUAGCUCUCGUUUACCUACAACAAAUUGAAAACCAUUUGGGGUAAAUAACUAAGCCUUUGGUUAUUAGAUUCUUGGUAGCAAGGCAAAGUUACACACAACAAAACUAUUAAAACUUUAAAACCCACUUCCCAAAUUAGGUUAUUUGACUGGCUAAUGAUCAUAUUGGAUACAAAUUAUCAUCCUGAACACUGCAAUGCUUGAUUUUUUUUUUUUCUUCAGGACAUUCUAAUUAUCAUUAUUUAUUCCCAAUACAAUUCUGUCAAAUACCAGAUAGCAACACCAUUUAAAAGUCAUAUUGGGUGUCCACACCCACACUUAUACUUUACAAAUAAAUUUGAACUUUGAAUCACAUGGGCUUAAAAAAUAUUUGCAAAUAAAUUCGAAAAAAGAUGAAUAAAUUAAAGAAAAAUCAUAUCUACUAGCAAUUUAGACUCACCCAAAGUUGCUAUCGAGCUGUGCCGAAGACAACUCUGCAUAAUUGACAAAGUCUAGAACAACCUGAAAAUUUAAAGAGGUCAAAUUUAAAGCCAAAUAAGCAAUCAUUUACUGAAAAUCUUUCACAAAAAAAGUGCUAGUUUCACAAAUAAAUGAAACCCAGAUUAAAUUUAUUGAUAAAAACUAAGAACUUCAAAGCUUAAGAAAAAACCCAUGAAUCCAACCAUAAAAAAGAUGCAAACUUUCACACAAACAAAAUAUCAAACAUGGUUCAUUGUUUCUUUUUGCAUUUUAAAUCACACAAUGUUGCCCAAUAUUUUAUCCUCUGAACAUUUCAUAUACUCAUGCAUUAGAUAAAAAAUGAUAUCUAUGUUAAAAUUAUAUGGACUGCUUUAUCAUGGUUUAAGAAAGCAACCACAAAUCAUAGUAUCUACAUGUUCCUCAAAUUAUCUAAAACACUAAAACAAAACACUCGCUUCCCACUACAUGUUUAAGAUACGUGAACCCACUCUUCACCAUUCACCAAUACCCUUGGUGCUAUAAAUCCAAAAAAAAAAAAAAAAUUCAAUAAAUAAAAUGGCUACUAACCAAAGCAUCCUUUGAACACGGAGUUAUUAUUGGCACUCCAAAAAUCUCAUUCUACACUCCAAACUUGCUAUAUUUGAAAAGAAAAAUACACUUGUGAGGAGUGUAGAAUGAGAUUUUUGGAGUAUCAAUAACACUUCCCAUUAAGAAAUUCAAAUAAAAUCAAACACCCAGAAAAGAAAAAACACACACACACACACACACAAAAGAUCUACUUGAAUUGUCAAGGAAAUCAAUAUACUAAUAAAUAUAAAGGUAUGUUUGAAUUGUUAAUCAAAUAAAAAAAAAACUUUUUAGCUAAAAUGAUUAAUGAGAUUUGCAUAAUACAUCACUUUGGUUUCUGAAAUUGCAAAUCAAUAGAAAUAGUCCCUGUGAUUGUCCACUAUCCAUUAUUUUGGUCCUUCCGUUAAAAGCUCCGUUAAGUGUCUCAGACCUCUUGACUGAAAGUUUGGGCAAUUUUCAAAACUUCGUAACUCAAUCAUUUCUUAGCCAAAUUCAACCUAUAAUAUAUCAAAAUGAAUAUAAGAAGUGUAGAAUAAGAUUAUACCUAUUUGAAAGUCCAAUGGUUGCCAACUUCUUUAAUACUCAAUGAAAUUGCCGGAAUAAAGGUAAACCUUAAACGUUCAUAACUUCUUCAAUACUCAAUGAAAUCGAGUGAUUCAAAAAAGAAAAUCAUACUUCUUGAUGAGACGAAAAGAAUGGGCUUAAUUUCAGCUUCCAUGAAACUAUUGGUUAUGUUAAUCCAAUUUUUCCAUUGCUCUAUUUUCAUAAACUCGAUGGCCGAGAAAGCCAAUGGGGGUGGUGGAGCAGAAGCCGAGCAGCAACCGGUGGUGAGGCCAUAUCCUUUCCACGAAAUCGAGUUCAAAUGGUAGCGUCAUUGAGAGGAAAUCAGACUUUUUCGAACCCCAGAUGAAAUUGAUACCUCGAAGCCCAAAUACUAUCUUCUCGAUAUGUUCCCUUAUCCCAGGAAAUUCCAGGGCGAGGGUUCUAUGUGUUGUUCGGGUGGACGAGGAUGCUUUCUGAAAAUUCCAGCACGAGGUUUCUAUGUGCUGUUCCCGCGGAUGGGUGGGCGAUGCAAAGAAUUACGAACAAUGAUGGGGCCUCUAGAGAGUAACUGCAGGCUCUGCAAAAGUUUGAAUCACUUUGUUGGUGAUUCCAUUAGGUGCACACACUCUUAUUCCAACAAACACUGCCAAGGACAAAAGAAACAGAAAAAUCUGCCCCUUCAGUAAUGCUAAAAAAAAAAAAAAAAAAAAAAAAAGACAAGGGAGCCAUGGAAGGACGGAAGGAAAGUUCACGUCAGCUGCAGGACAGGCUGGCUCCCGAUGAUAACAGACUGGCACCUGGUAUAUCUACGGAAAUGGAUCACAAGCGAGCAUGUGAUGGUAGUGAUGAAGACCCCGAUGUGCCUCCUGGUUUUGGUUGAUGAGUUUCCAUGCAUUUCAGUUUUCACGGUUACUAAUUAACCAUCAAAUUUCAGAGACAACGCACUCCAGGAUCAAUCUGUGGUAACCACUUAAUGAAUUUUAUGUUGACUUGUUACAAUGGGAAAGUUCUCUAUAAUUCUUUGAUAGAAUGCGCUAUGUUGACAUAUGUUGCAUGUGAGAAUUUGGCCUUGGGUAUUUAGUGUAUUCAAAAUUAUUAGCUUCAUUAAAACUCUGUAUGCCGCGCGUAGCGCACCUUUAUGUAAAAGAAAUCUUUCGCAUGCAUAAAGCGCGUGCAGAAAGGCUAGUAUGUAUAAUAUGUGCAAAAAUAACUUUUCUUAGGUAAAAUAUAUACUUUAAGUUUAAAUGAGUAUCAAGAUUCAAUACAGUACAAGCGGUCUGGUUGAAUUCGAUUUGGGCUAUUAACUGCGCCAAACCUGAAUAUCAGAUAUGUUGUCGAACUCGAUUUUAACAAUUAAAGGGUAAGCAGGUAGCU